rnacentral:misc_RNA from 1 species
GAUGAAGAACGUAGCGAAAUGCGAUAAGUAAUGUGAAUUGCAGAAUUCAGUGAAUCAUCGAAUCUUUGAACGCACAUUGCGCCCGCGAGUAUUCUCGCGGGCAUGCCUGUCCGAGCGUCAUUUCAACCCUCAGAGCCCGCCUGCUUCGGCAGGCGCGGCGCUGGUGUUGGGGAUCGGCCUAACCGCCGUCCCCCAAAUACAGUGGCGGUCUCGCUGCAGCCUCCCCUGCGUAGUAGCAACACUCGCAUGCGGAGCGCGGCGCGGCCACGCCGUAAAACCCCCGACUUUCUGAACGUUGACCUCGGAUCAGGUAGGAAUACCCGCUGAACUUAAGCAUAUCAAUAAGCGGAAGA